GUCUUUGUAGAUUAGUGGUUAGAUCACCACGUUGUGGCCCUGGCUUCGGCGCGCAAUUCCGUGGUAACCCAGGCUCGAAUCCUGGCAAGGACA